CAGCCGCCGCGGUAAUACAGAGGGUGCGAGCGUUAAUCGGAUUUACUGGGCGUAAAGCGUGCGUAGGCGGCUUUUUAAGUCGGAUGUGAAAUCCCUGAGCUUAACUUAGGAAUUGCAUUCGAUACUGGGAAGCUAGAGUAUGGGAGAGGAUGGUAGAAUUCCAGGUGUAGCGGUGAAAUGCGUAGAGAUCUGGAGGAAUACCGAUGGCGAAGGCAGCCAUCUGGCCUAAUACUGACGCUGAGGUACGAAAGCAUGGGGAGCAAACAGGAUUAGAUCCCCCGUAGUCCCUGUCUCUUAUACC
rnacentral:rRNA from 1 species